AGAAGCCCCAUGACCCCAUGACAACAACACCCACUUCCUGCUCCACAGAGUUUACAGUGGUUACAUCAUAACUGCAGGAACCUGGUUUCAUCCAUCUUCAGCCACUCAGAUAAAGAAUGCUCUUGGAAGGCAAGAAGCAGUGACAAUCUGUUCACUUGGUAACAUCCUCUGAAGAGAUCUGGGUCAGUAAUGAAGCAUCCUCUGGAGGAGCAUCAAAGCAGAGAGAAAGCACCCAGCCAUCCUGAGAACCACAUCACUCUCUCCACCAGUCAUUCAGCUAUGCCUCUCAAUCAUCAGAGUUACGAGUCUGCAAAUUGGAGGCUUCAAAUGUCUUUAACUGCUUAGAAUAUGUGGGUGAGCAAUGUUCAACAGCAUCUACAACAGGAGUCGUUUCCAUCCCAAGAAACCACUUUCUUUGCCCAUCAUAAGAAACAGCUCCUCAUCAGUUCAUGUUUGAUCGUGAGAUUGUAGCAAUACGGUCACAUCUUCAGACUCCACUUCUAAUUCCAGUUCCCUUGCUAUUUCCACCACCUCUGGAGCUCCUUCCUCCACUCAAGUCUUGAGCCCCUGAAAGUCAUUCAUGAGGGUUGGAAUCAACUUCUUCCAAACUGCUGUUAAUGCUGAUCUUUUGAUCCCCUCCCGUGAAUUGCAAAUGUUCAUAAUGACAUUUAGAACAGUGAUUCUUUUCCAGAAGGUUUUCAAUUUACUUUGCCCAUAUCCAUCAGAGGAAUCACUAUCCAUAGAAGCUACACCCUUGCAAAAUGGAUUUCUUAAAUAGUAAGACUUGAAAGUCAGAAUUACUCCAUGAUCCAUGGGCUGUAGAGUGGAUGUUGUGUUAGCAGAUAUGAAACAUUAAUCUCCUUGCACACCUCCAUCAGAGCUCUGAUGCGCCUUAGACCAGGUGCAUUGUCAACGAGCAGUAUUUUGAAAGGAAUAUUUUUGUCUGAGCAGUAGGUAUCAACAGUGAGCUUAAAAUAUUCAGUAAACCAUAAUAUAAAUAGAUGCACUGUUAUCCAGGCUUUGUUCCAUUUAUAGAGCACAUGCAGACUAGAUUUAGUAUCAUUCUUUAGGGCCCUAGAAUUUUUAGAAUGGCAAAUGAGCAUCAACUUCAACUUAAAGCCACCAGCUUCAUGAGCCCUUAAAAGACAGUCAGCCUGUCCCUUGAUGCCUUGAAGCCAGGCAUUGACUCCUCCUCUCCAGCUACAAAAAGUCCUAGAUGGUAUCUUCUUCCAGUAGAAGGCUGUUCCAUAUUCACUGAAAAUCUGCUGUUUGGUGUAGCCACCUUCAUCAGUGACCUUAGCCAGAUCUUCUAGAUAACUUGCUGCAGCUUCUCCAUCAGCGCUUGCUGCUUCACCUUAUACUUUUAUGUUACAGAGAUGGCUUCUUUUUUUAAACCUCAUAAACCAACCUCUGCUGGCUUCCAAAGUUUCUUCUGCAGCUUUCUCUUCUCAGCCUUCAUAGAAUUGAAAAGAGGAGCUUGAUCUGAGUUAGGCUUUGGCUCAAGGGAAUGUUGCAGCUGGUUGCAUCUUCUAUCCAGACCGCUCAAACUUUCUCCAUACCAGCAAUAAAGAGUGUUUUACUUUGUUAUCAUUCAUGUAUUCACUGAAGUGGCACUUUUAAUUUCCUUCAAGAAUCUCUCCUUUGCAUUUUCAACUUGGCUAACUGGUGCAAAAGGCCUAGCUUUUGGCCUAUCUUAGCUUUCAACAAGCCUUCUUCACUCACUGGCUUAAUCAUUUCUAGUUUUUUCUUUCCUUCCUUCCUUCUCUUUUCUUCCUUGCUUCCUCUUUCUUUCUUCUCCUUUCUUCCUUCCUUCCUUUCUCUCUCUCUCCUUUCUUCCCUCUCUCCCUCCCUCCCUUUCUCCUUCCUUCCUUCCUUCCUUCCUGCCUGCCUGCCUGCCUGCCUGCCUGCCUUCCUGCCUGCCUCUCCCCAAGCUGGACUCCAACUCCUGGGCAAAAGCCAUCCUCCCACCUCAGCCUCCUGAGCAGUUGUGACUACAUAUGUGUGCCACUAUGUCUGGCUUAUUUUUAGAUUUUAAUUGCAAAUGAGAGACAUAUGACCCUUUCUCUUGAACACUUAGAGGCCAUUGAGGGGUUAUCAAUUGGCUAAUUUCAGUAUUGUUGUGUCUUAGGGAAUAGGGAGGCCUGAGGAGAGGGGAGAGGUAGAGGAACAGCUGGUUGGUGGAGCAGUCAGAACACACACAACGUUUACUGAUUACAUUUACUGUAUUAUAUAGAGGAACAGUUUGUGACUCCCUCAAACAAUUACAGUAGUAACAUCAAAGAUCACUGAUCACACAUCAUCAUAACAUAUAAUAAUAAUGAAAAAAAUUGAAAUAUCAUGAGAAUUACCAAAAUGUGACACAGAGACAUGGAGCAUGUGCUGUUGGCGGCAUGGCACCGAUAGACUUGCUCGAUGCAAGGUUGCCCCAACUCUUCCAUUUGGAAAAAAAUGCACUCUGCGAAGUGCAAUCAAGCAAAGUGUAAUAAAACGAGGCGUGCCUGUACAAUUCUACAAUAUUCAUAAAGGCCAGAGGAUUGUUAUUUUACUACUAAUAAGAAGUAAAGAGGGCUUCUCUAGUUCCCAAAGAAAAGAAUGGGUCAGUAAAUGAAUUAAUAGAGAAAUAAAUAUAAUUUGAAUGCCUUGCAUAGACCCAUAGUGAUAAAGUGCUAAGAAUCGGAAGAGUAUGUUUAACACAAUCUUUAUGCCUGAUGUCCAACACAAGCGACAAAAUAGAACACAAAAAUGGAAACACUGAGGUCCAGGCCCGCUCUGAUUUUUCUCAAUUUAACCAGUGUUUUUUAUUCACAUAUGUUGUGCUAUGGAGGAUGACAUAAAGAUACAGUGAUGGUCCUUGAAGUCUUUUUGCUUCCCUGGUUUUCCUACAUGCUGGAGCUUAAUGAAGGUUCAAUAAUGCCUUGGUUUCCAACUUCCAGGAGCUGACAGAAAUAGAGAUGCGAUUUUAUCAAAAUACUCAAGGAUGUGGCUUCUUCAAAGCAAAGAGUCUGCAGUGAGAGAAAGGGAGGCCAUGUGGGCUGAGGAGAGGCUGGAAGGUGGAGCUUCUCCACCACGCUCAGAGCUCUGCCCUUCCCUUACCUGUGGCCUUGGAAGAAACUGGGCUCCCCUGGGGACUUCGGUUGCUUCUUUUGUGCUAUGCGGAGGCUGGACUCAGUUAGUGGGUUUUCAACCUCCUCUGAUAAAACCUAAGGUUUUGGAAACACUGAAGAUUUAAACUGUCUGAAGAAAGCUGUAAUUCUAUCUGCUUCAUUCGUUCUAUAGUUUUACCUUAAAAAAGGUUUUUUUGUUGUGUUGUGUUUGUUUUUUUCAUCUCUGGUGAUUUGCCUAUCUGGUAUUUUCUGAGAUCAGAAGCACUCUAGCAACGCUCUUGCUCAAACGCAUUCACAAAGCCCAGGACCCACAGGGCUCCUUCAGCCUCCCUCCCUUUCUUCUCCAUCAUGUCUAAUUUGGGCUAAAUCUGUGUCAGGGCUGGAGGGUGGAGCCUGCAGGUUGCACUGAGCGUGGCUAGCAGAGGCCUUUGAAAACUCAGGGUGUCCCUUGAGGAAGAGAGAAGAGGCAUUAAUUAACACCCCA
rnacentral:lncRNA from 10 species